UACGUAGGUGGCAAGCGUUGUCCGGAAUUACUGGGCGUAAAGGGCGCGUAGGCGGCCUGCUAAGUCGGAUGUGAAAUCCCUCGGCUCAACCGAGGAACUGCAUCCGAUACUGGCGGGCUUGAAUCCGGGAGAGGGACGUGGAAUUCCAGGUGUAGCGGUGAAAUGCGUAGAUAUCUGGAGGAACACCGGUGGCGAAGGCGGCAUCCUGGACCGGUAUUGACGCUGAGGCGCGAAAGCCAGGGGAGCAAACGGG
rnacentral:rRNA from 1 species